UACGAAGGGGGCUAGCGUUGUUCGGAAUUACUGGGCGUAAAGCGUAUGCAGGCGGACUUUUAAGUCGGGGGUGAAAUCCCGAGGCUCAACCUCGGAACUGCCCUCGAUACUGGAAGUCUUGAGUCCGGGAGAGGUGAGUGGAACUCCGAGUGUAGAGGUGAAAUUCGUAGAUAUUCGGAAGAACACCAGUGGCGAAGGCGGCUCACUGGCCCGGUACUGACGCUGAGAUACGAAAGCGUGGGGAGCAAACAGG
rnacentral:rRNA from 1 species